AGUGAACGCUGGCGGUAGGCCUAACACAUGCCAGUCGAACGGCAGCACAGUAAGAGCUUGCUCUUACGGGUGGCGAGUGGCGGACGGGUGAGGAAUACAUCGGAAUCUACUUUUUCGUGGGGGAUAACGUAGGGAAACUUACGCUAAUACCGCAUACGACCUACGGGUGAAAGCAGGGGAUCUUCGGACCUUGCGCGAUUGAAUGAGCCGAUGUCGGAUUAGCUAGUUGGCGGGGUAAAGGCCCACCAAGGCGACGAUCCGUAGCUGGUCUGAGAGGAUGAUCAGCCACACUGGAACUGAGACACGGUCCAGACUCCUACGGGAGGCAGCAGUGGGGAAUAUUGGACAAUGGGCGCAAGCCUGAUCCAGCCAUACCGCGUGGGUGAAGAAGGCCUUCGGGUUGUAAAGCCCUUUUGUUGGGAAAGAAAAGCAGCAGGUUAAUACCCCGCUGUUCUGACGGUACCCAAAGAAUAGGCACCGGCUAACUUCGU
rnacentral:rRNA from 1 species